CCAUCAUCCCGCUGCUGCAGGCCUCGGACGUAGCCAGCGGCGUACUUACUGGAGAGCAGAGGGUCCUCCCCCGGAGUCUCUUGGCCUCUGCCCCAUCUGGGGUCUCUGAAAAUGUUGACAUUGGGCGACCAAUAGGCAACAGGUUUCUGAAAAAUCUUUCACCCACCUCCACAUAACCUGCAUAGUAGCAGCUAUUGAAGAUAAAAAAAACAGAGGGUCCCCAAUCACUUUUGUAAGCCACAUUGUCCAGAAAAGGAGUUUUUAGAGAGAGAAAGAGAAGCAUUGUAUGGUGAUACCUUUCCAAUGGCUUCAAACAGAGAAGAAUUGAAGG